rnacentral:rRNA from 1 species
GAUGUUCUAACGUGGACCCGUAAUCCGGGUUGCGGACAGUGUCUGGUGGGUAGUUUGACUGGGGCGGUCUCCUCCUAAAGAGUAACGGAGGAGCACGAAGGUUGGCUAAUCCUGGUCGGACAUCAGGAGGUUAGUGCAAUGGCAUAAGCCAGCUUGACUGCGAGCGUGACGGCGCGAGCAGGUGCGAAAGCAGGUCAUAGUGAUCCGGUGGUUCUGAAUGGAAGGGCCAUCGCUCAACGGAUAAAAGGUACUCCGGGGAUAACAGGCUGAUACCGCCCAAGAGUUCAUAUCGACGGCGGUGUUUGGCACCUCGAUGUCGGCUCAUCACAUCCUGGGGCUGAAGUAGGUCCCAAGGGUAUGGCUGUUCGCCAUUUAAAGUGGUACGCGAGCUGGGUUUAGAACGUCGUGAGACAGUUCGGUCCCUAUCUGCCGUGGGCGCUGGAGAACUGAGGGGGGCUGCUCCUAGUACGAGAGGACCGGAGUGGACGCAUCACUGGUGUUCGGGUUGUCAUGCCAAUGGCACUGCCCGGUAGCUAAAUGCGGAAGAGAUAAGUGCUGAAAGCAUCUAAGCACGAAACUUGCCCCGAGAUGAGUUCUCCCUGAGACUUUAGGUCUCCUGAAGGAACGUUGAAGACGACGACGUUGAUAGGCCGGGUGUGUAAGCGCAGCGAUGCGUUGAGCUAACCGGUACUAAUGAACCGUGAGGCUUAACCUUACAACGCCGAAG